rnacentral:tRNA from 1 species
GCGCCAGUGGUGCAACGAUAUAGAGCGUUUCCGUCUGGUCAGCAGGAGGUGCGGGUUCGAAUCACGUCUGGCGCU